AUUGAACGCUGGCGGCAUGCCUUACACAUGCAAGUCGAACGGCAGCACGGGUGCUUGCACCUGGUGGCGAGUGGCGAACGGGUGAGUAAUACAUCGGAACGUACCUUAUCGUGGGGGAUAACGCAGCGAAAGCUGUGCUAAUACCGCAUACGCCCUGAGGGGGAAAGCGGGGGAUCGAAAGACCUCGCGCGAUUAGAGCGGCCGAUGCCUGAUUAGCUUGUUGGUGGGGUAAAAGCCCACCAAGGCGACGAUCAGUAGCUGGUCUGAGAGGAAGAUCGGCCACACUGGGACUGAGACACGGCCCAGACUCCUACGGGAGGCAGCAGUGGGGAAUUUUGGACAAUGGGGGCAACCCUGAUCCAGCAAUGCCGCGUGAGUGAAGAAGGCCUUCGGGUUGUAAAGCUCUUUUGUCAGGGAAGAAACACCGGCUCUAACACAGUCCGGGAAUGACGGUACCUGAAGAAUAAGCACCGGCUAACUACGUGCCAGCAGCCGCGGUAA
rnacentral:rRNA from 1 species